UGGGGAAUUUUGGACAAUGGGCGAAAGCCUGAUCCAGCAAUGCCGCGUGUGUGAAGAAGGCCUUCGGGUUGUAAAGCACUUUUGUCCGGAAAGAAAUCCUUGGCUCUAAUACAGUCGGGGGAUGACGGUACCGGAAGAAUAAGCACCGGCUAACUACGUGCCAGCAGCCGCGGUAAUACGUAGGGUGCAAGCGUUAAUCGGAAUUACUGGGCGUAAAGCGUGCGCAGGCGGUUUGCUAAGACCGAUGUGAAAUCCCCGGGCUCAACCUGGGAACUGCAUUGGUGACCGGCAGGGCUAGAGUAUGGCAGAGGGGGGUAGAAUUCCACGUGUAGCAGUGAAAUGCGUAGAGAUGUGGAGGAAUACCGAUGGCGAAGGCAGCCCCCUGGGCCAAUACUGACGCUCAUGCACGAAAGCGUGGGGAGCAAACAGGAUU
rnacentral:rRNA from 1 species